UACGAAGGGGGCGAGCGUUGUUCGGAAUCACUGGGCGUAAAGGGCGCGUAGGCGGCCCUUCUUGUCGCGUGUGAAAGCCCCGGGCUCAACCUGGGAAUUGCGCGCGAAACGGGGGGGGCUUUGAGUUCGGGAGAGGAGCGUGGAAUUCCCAGUGUAGAGGUGAAAUUCGUAGAUAUUGGGAAGAACACCGGUGGCGAAGGCGGCGCUCUGGACCGAGACUGACGCUGAGGCGCGAAAGCGUGGGGAGCAAACAGG
rnacentral:rRNA from 1 species